AAAAAAAUAAUAAACUCUCCUCCCUUAUCUCCUGUGACAAAACAUUGCUGUGCCCCUCUUUUCCAGUAUUUUCUUAUGAAAAAUUUAAACCUACAGAGAUGUUGAAAGCACUGUACAGUGAAAGCUCAUCUACCUAAAUUCUACAAAAUUAAUAUAUAUAUAUGUGUGUGUGUGUGUGUGUGUGUGUGCAUAUAUAAAAAUCAUCAUCUGUAAAACAAUUGUAUGUAUAUAGGAAUAAUUCCAUAUAUUAAACAAUUAUGUGUUUGUCUUUAGCCCAUCAUUCUUAUUUUUUGAUGCAUUCCAAAGAAUGUUGCAGCAACAGUACAUUUUACCCUUAACACUCAGCUUACGUGUCACUAGAGUUUAGUGUUUGUUACAGCAUUUGGGGGGUGGGGAAUUCAUAUGCUGUGAAAUGCACUAAAGUGUCUUCAGAUGAUGAUUUGUGACGUGCAUAUCUUCAUGAAAUACGAGUCUCCAUCAAGAUGUAGGACAAUUCCUUCACUCCAGAAAGUUUCCUCUGGCCCUGUUUCAGUCAGUCCCUGCCCCACUCCACUGACUACCACUGUUCUGAAAUUUUGUACUAUAGAUUAGAUUUGCCUAUUCUACAGUUUUAUGUAAAUGAAAUUAUAUGUGCUCCUGUGAGAGAUUGUUCUGUGUGGUUGCAGUAUUCCAUUACCUAGAUGGAUUAGUUUAUUGAUCCUUUCUUCUGACGUUCGACACCUAGGCUCUUGUUAGUUUUUAGUUAUUGUGAAUAAGGUUCUUAUGAAUGUUCUUAUAAAAGUAUUUUUGUGGACAUCUGUUUAUGGGGUUAUUUGUUUAGUUUUAUAGGAAUCGGCCAGACCUUUAUGUAGUUGUGUGAUUCCACACUCCUGUUAAUAAUAGUGUGUGAGGGGGGCACCUGGGUGGCUCAGUUGGUUAAGUGUCCGACUUCGGCUCAGGUCAUGAUCUCACGGUUCGUGGGUUUGAGCCCCGCAUCGGGCCUGGUCUGACAGCUCAGAGCCUGGAGCCUGCUUCAGAUUCUGUGUCUCCCUCUCUCUCUGCCCCUCCCCCACUCGCGCUCUGUCUCCCUCUGUCUCAAAAAUAAAUAAACGUUAAAAAAAAAUAGUGUGUGAGGGUUUCAGUUGUAUCCUUAACAUUUGGUGGUAUUGAAUUAAAAAAAAAUUGAAAUGAAGCUUAAAAUAGCAAUAAGAAUGUUCAUUAUGUUACCAUGCAGUGUGAUUGUUAGCCCCAUUUUUUAAGUUUAUUUAUUUAUUUUGGGGGGGGGGGGAGGAAUCCUAAGCAGGCUCCGCACUGUCUGCAGGGAGUCCGAUGUGGGGCUAGAACUCACCAACUGCGAGAUCGUGACCUGAGCCACCCAAGAGCCUCACUUGGUUCUUUUUAUAUGUUGGAUGGAUUUGCAAAAUUUUUCUUAAGGAUUUUUCCAUCUAUGUUCAUGAGUGACAUGGUCUGUAAUAUCUUUUGUCUGGUUUUGGUGUCAGGGUAAUGCUGGCCUUGUGGAAUGAACUGGGAAUUGUUUCUUCCUUUUUAAGAACUUAGUGUAGAAUUGAUAAUAUUUUUUCUGUAAAUGCUUAGAAUUCCCAACGAAGCCAUCGGGAGUUGGAGUUUUAUUUGUGGGAAGGUUUUUAACUUUGAAUUCAAUUUCUUGACUAGAUAUCAAGUUAUCAUCUCUUUCUCUUUCUCCUUUUUUUUUUUUUUUUUUUUGAACCAGCUUUGGUGGUCUUUUUUCAAGGAAUUUAUCCAUUUCAACUUAAGUUGUCCUAUUUAUCGACAUAAAGUUGUUCAUAUGAUUUCUUAUCUGUAGGAGCCGUGGUGAUCUUGUUUUUUAGGCCUUUGUUUUCUUAGUACCUAACACCAUAAAUGUACCUUGAGAGCAUUGCAGAAGUAUCCUUCACAUUUGAUUUACCGUGUUUCUACGUUCAUUCAGUUUUGAAAUGCUGUCUAAUUUUGUUCAUGAUUUCUUCUUUGAUCCAUGAAUUAAAAGGGUGUUUAAUUUCUAGAAUUUGGGGAUUUUCUAGAUUAUUUUUUGUUACAGAUUUCUGUUAAAUUUUGCUUUGGUUAGAGAAUAUACUUUAUAAUUCUAAUUCUUUUAAAUUUAUUGAGACAUAGGGCUCUGCACAAGCUCUGUCUUGGUAAGUGUUUCAUGUGGAUUUGCUGUUACUGGCUGGAGAGCUCUUAGCGUUUGGUCAGGUGGUCAGGUGGUUGGUUGUGUUCAGUCCUGUGUAUCCUUAUCCUUCCUGAUUUUUGUGGAUUUGUUAUAUUCUCUCAUUGAGAGAAGAGGGGGUGUUGACGUCUCCGACUGUAUUUUUGGAUUUGAUUAUUUCUCUUUUCAAUUUAAUCAGUUUUUGUCUCAUGUACUUUUCUCUGAGUACAUACACGUUUAGGAUUGCUUUGUUCUGCUGAUGAAUUGUCCUGUUGUUGCAAAGUGACCUUCUAUCCAUGUUAAUAUUCUUUUCUCCCCCUGAAAUCUGCUUUGUUUGAUGGUAAUGUGAUUCCUCCAGCUUUCUUUUGAUUAGUGAUAGCAUGACACCUCUCUUUCCAUCUUUUUACCUUUAACCUGUCUGUCUUUGUAUUUAAAGUGAAAUUUUGGGGGCGCCUGGUGGCUCAGUCAGUUAAGUGUACGACUCUUGAUUUCGGCUCAGGUCAUGAUCUCCUGGUUUGUGAGUUUGACUUUGAGCCCCAAGUUGGCUUGUUGCUGACAGUGCGAAGUCUGCUGGAGAUGCUCUGUCUCCGUCCCUCUCUGCCCCUCCCCCACUUGUUCUCUCUCAAAAAUAAACAUUUAAAACAACGUUUAAAAUGAAAUUUGUGUAGAUAGCAUUUAAUUGGAUCUUGUUUUUAUUUACCCAGUCUGAUACUCUGUGCCUCUUAAUUUAAGUAUUUAGACCAGGGGUAGGCAAACUAUGCUUCGUGGGCCAAAUCUGGCUUGCUGUCUGUUUUGUAAAUAAACUGUCUUGGAACGUAGCCAUGCUUGUUAGUGCUCAUGGCUGCCUUUGUGUAUGAUGGUGGCACUGAGUAGUUGUGUGAGAGCCUGCAUGGCUGGCAGAGCCCUAGAUAUUUGUUAUCUGGCUUUUACUUUAGAAAAAGUUUCCAGCUCUUGUUCUUUAAUGUGGUUAUGGAUAUGGUUGGGUUCAAAUUGCCCAUGUCACUGUUUCUUUUUACUGUCUUCUCUGUGCUUCCUUUUUUAUUCUUCUGCUUUGUUUUGGAUUGAACAGUUUUUAUGAUUCCAUUUUAUCUCCCAUUAUUGGCUUAUUAGCUGUAUGUUUUUGUUUACCUUUUUUUUUUUUUAAGUUUAUUUGUUUUUGAGAGAGAGCGAGAGCAUGCGAGCAUGAGCACAAGCAGGGGAGGGGCAGAGAGGGAGGGAGACAGAGAAUCCCAAGCAGGCUUCGCACCGUUAGCAUGGAGCCUGAUGCAAGGCUUGAACUCACGAACUGUGAGAUCAUGACCUGAGCUGAAAUCAAGAGUCCGAUGCCUAAGCAACUGAGCCCCCCAGGCGCCCCUGUUUACCUUCUAAUAUAAUACUGCUCCACAUAUAAGAACCUUACAAAGGGUGUCUGGCUGGCACAGUUGGUAGAAAAUGUGACUUGAUCUCAGGGUUGUGAGUUCUAGUCCCACAUGGGGUAUAGAGAUUACUUAAUAAAUAAAGAUUAAAAGAAAAAAACAUCAAUACUAUGCUCUCAUUUCCCAUUCUAGCCUUUGUGUUAUUGUUGUCAUACAUUUUACUUGUACAUAUGUCAUCACCUCAGAAUACAUUAUUUCCAAUUUAAAUCUUUGUACGAAUUUGCACUUUUCUCUAGUUCUGAAUUGACUUGGUAAGCAGUGUAUUAGCAUAGGUACAUUUGAAGACAGCUACUAUAUUAUUAUCUGGCUUAACUAAUUCUUUUUUGUAUUACAAAUAAUCUUUAAUCAUUGUAAAAACAGCAGUGUAAAUUGGGAAAGUUAGAAAAUGGAGGUAAUCCUUUCUUUAGAAAAUAAAAUUUUAAAUGCCACAUUUCUGCCAUUCAGAGAUUACCGCUACUGACAUCUUAUUGUUUAGCCUUCUCUUUCUUUGUGCAAACACUUAUGUGAGUAGAGUCUUUACCACAGUGAGCUCUUAUUCUCUUACUGAUCAUGCUUUUUCAGUUUCCUGCAUCUUUCGGUGUUGUUAACGCUUGUCUUUCUCAUCUGAUACCUAGUCCACAUUCUGACUUCUCCAGUUUUCCUCCAGAUACGUUUUGUACUUGGUUUAUCUGACGCAGGAUUCAGUGUGAACACUGUUGCAUCUGGUUGUCCAGUUCUCACUAUCCCCAUCCCUCCCUCCGUCUCCUCACCCCCUUCUGUUGUGUUGGCCGCACCCUUGUCCACACUGUCCUCCCCAUACUGACUCUGGUGUCCUUGGUCAGGCACACACUUGGAGCUCCUACUUGAUACUCUCCCAGGAGCCUCCCAAGUGCUCACCCCUGACAGAAGACCAUGUUUGCUUAUGGAGCUUCUCUUUUUUGAAAAUUAUGGGGGCAGGGGGACGCCUGGGUGGCUCAGUCGUUUAAGUGUCCAACUUCGGCUCAGGUCAUAAUCUCAGGGUUCAUGAGUUCGAGAUCCUCCUUCCCCAUCUCCCUCUGCCCCACCCAUGCUUGUGCUGUCUCAAAAUAAACUUAAAAAAUAAAAAUCAUUAGUGGGAAAUCUCAUCUGUUUAUUUCUUAUAAAACUAUAGUUUUUAACUACAAUUUAAAACUUUAAUUUUUAGGGGUGUUUGGGUGGCUCAGUCGAUUAAGCGUCCAACUUGGGCUGAAGUCAUAAUCUUGCAGUUUGUGAGCUCGAGCCCCAACUCAGUCUCUAUGCUGACAGCUCGGAGCUCUGUGCUGACAGCUUCAGAUUCUGUGUCUCCUCUCUCUCUCUGCCUCUUCCCUGCUCAUUCUCUGUCUCUCUCAAAAAUAAAUGUUAAAAAAAUUUUUCACCCUGUGACCCAGCAAUUGCACUACUAGGUAUUUAUCCAAGGGACACAGGUAUACUGUUUCGAAGGGGCACGUGCAUGCCAAUGUUUACAGCAGCACUAUCACCGAUAGCCAAAGUAUGGAAAGAGCCCAAAUGUCCGUCACUGGAUGAAUGGAUAAAAGAGAUGUGGUAUAUAUACACAAUGGAGUAUUACUCGGCAAUCAAAAAGAAUGGAAUCUUGCCAUUUGCAACUACGUGGAUGGAAUUAGAGGGUAUUAUGCUAAGCGAAAUUAG